rnacentral:tRNA from 1 species
GGGCGCGUAGCUCAGUGGUAGAGCACACCCUUCACACGGGUGGGGUCGCAGGUUCAAUCCCCGCCGCGCCCA